UACGAAGGGGGGCUAGCGUUGCUCGGAAUUACUGGGCGUAAAGGGCGUGUAGGCGGUUUUGUUAAGUCAUGUGUGAAAUCCCUCGGCUCAACCGGGGGAACGACGCAUGAAACUGGCAAGCUAGAGUACCAAAGAGGGCGGUGGAAUUCCCGGUGUAGCGGUGAAAUGCGUAGAUAUCUGGAGGAAUACCGGUGGCGAAGGCGGCAUCCUGGACCGGCAUUGACGCUGAGGAGCGAAAGCUAGGGGAGCAAACGGGG
rnacentral:rRNA from 1 species